UUCUUCCUCACGUUGUCAACAAUUGCACAGCGGCGUCAACAGGCGGCCUACCACAUGGUUGGUUUCGAGGAGGUUUACCUUGGGGAAAUCUUUUCAGGUGAAGAUAACUACCGACUCCGACUACGAUUUUGAUGUAGUUCUCAUCGGCCUGAACUCUGAAACUGAGUCCGACACAGAGAAGGAUGACGAUAUUGACCAUAUGUGCGACUAGUGCAUCGAUGAAAUCGUAAUGUUCU
rnacentral:lncRNA from 1 species